rnacentral:rRNA from 1 species
UACAGGGGGGGCAAGCGUUGUUCGGAAUUACUGGGCGUAAAGGGCGCGUAGGUGGCCUUCUAAGUUGAACGUGAAAUCCCUGGGCUCAACCCAGGAACUGCGUCCAAGACUGGGAGGCUUGAAUCCGGGAGAGGGAUGCGGAAUUCCAGGUGUAGCGGUGAAAUGCGCAGAUAUCGGGAGGAACACCAGUAGCGAAGGCGGCACUCUGGGCCGGUACUGACGCUGAGGAGCGAAAGCGUGGGGAGCGAACAGG